AGUCGAGGGGCAGCGCGGGUAGCAAUACCUGGCAGCGACCGGCAAACGGGUGCGGAACACGUACGCAACCUACCCAAAACUGGGGGAUAGCCCGGGGAAACCCGGAUUAAUACCUCGUAACCUUUUUGAGUGGCAUCACUUGGAAAGUAUAGCUCCGGCGGUUUUGGAUGGGCGUGCGCCUGAUUAGGUAGUUGGUGUAGGUAACGGCUCACCAAGCCUUCGAUCAGUAACUGGUGUGAGAGCACGACCAGUCACACGGGCACUGAGACACGGGCCCGACUCCUACGGGAGGCAGCAGUAAGGAAUAUUGGUCAAUGGACGCAAGUCUGAACCAGCCAUGCCGCGUGAAGGAUGAAGGUCCUCUGGAUUGUAAACUUCUUUUAUGGGGGACGAAACCCGGAUAUUCUUAUCCGAUUGACGGUACCUCAGGAAUAAGCACCGGCUAACUCCGUGCCAGCAGCCGCGGUAAUACGGAGGGUGCAAGCGUUAUCCGGAUUCACUGGGUUUAAAGGGAGCGUAGGAGGGCAGGUAAGUCAGUGGUGAAAUCUUCGAGCUUAACUCGGAAACUGCCGUUGAUACUAUCUGUCUUGAAUACCGUGGAGAUGAGCGGAAUAUGUCAUGUAGCGGUGAAAUGCUUAGAUAUGACAUAGAACACCAAUUGCGAAGGCAGCUCGUUACACGCAUAUUGACUCUGAGGCUCGAAAGCGUGGGGAUCAAACAGGAUUAGAUACCCUGGUAGUCCACGCCCUAAACGAUGGAUACUCGACAUACG
rnacentral:rRNA from 1 species